GUCCUCGUAGCUCAACGGACAGAGUGCCAGUUUGCGGAACUGGUGAUGGCAGUUCGAUUCUGCCCGGGGACG
rnacentral:tRNA from 1 species